CCUACGGGAGGCAGCAGUGGGGAAUAUUGGACAAUGGGCGAAAGCCUGAUCCAGCCAUGCCGCGUGUGUGAAGAAGGCCUUCGGGUUGUAAAGCACUUUCAGUGGGGAAGAAAGCCUUGGGGCUAAUACCCUCGAGGAAGGACAUCACCCACAGAAGAAGCACCGGCUAACUCCGUGCCAGCAGCCGCGGUAAUACGGAGGGUGCGAGCGUUAAUCGGAAUUACUGGGCGUAAAGCGCGCGUAGGCGGUCUGAUAAGCCGGUUGUGAAAGCCCCGGGCUCAACCUGGGAACGGCAUCCGGAACUGUCAGGCUAGAGGGCAGGAGAGGAAGGUAGAAAUCCCGGUGUAGCGGUGAAAUGCGUAGAGUUCGGGAGGAAUACCAGUGGCGAAGGCGGCCUUCUGGACUGACACUGACGCUGAGGUGCGAAAGCGUGGGUAGCAAACAGGAUUAGAUACCCUAGGAGUC
rnacentral:rRNA from 1 species